rnacentral:lncRNA from 1 species
CGGAGCUACAAUAUGGUUACUAAAGAUUUUACUUGUCAAGGUUCUUGCUUCAUCUUUCCAUGUCGCUACCUUCUUUGACCGCAUGAAAGAAAGCGUCUUCCACCACUACAUUCUCGAUACACUCUCUGGUCCACCAUUAGACGAGGAUGAGAGAGAAGCUCCUCGUCGACGGACGCUAAGGCAUUCCAAGACAUUGCCGGCGAAACUGAGGGAGCGGGCAUCGAGAUCGAAGGGGCAUGAGUCGUCGAGGAGCAUCGAUAUGGAGAGGCUGAGGAAGUUAAGUACGAUGAGCCGGGCAUCUGCUUGGAAUAUAAAGAGGCUGGUGAGUUACAUUAAGUCUUCAGGGCUGUCAACGAUUUCGAGGACGGUCGAUGGUUUUGGUAAUGCAGAAUCGGAGAUCAACAGUGAAUGGGAGGCUAGAGGCACUGCUCAAAGGAUUUUCAGGAAUGUCGCCAAACCUGGUGCCAAGUAAGUUCAAUUUCUUCUGCUAGCCUUUCUGGUUAAUUAUAUGAACAUUUGAUGUUAUACAAUCCUUAGAAGAGACCAUACAGUAGAGAUAAUUAUGCUAACCUUGCUCGGUUAAUUAUUAUAAAAUUUCUUGAAUAUCCUAAUUUUAGUUUAUUUUCACUAAAUUUCGUACACACUUAAUUAUCUCUUUAUUAAUCUUUAAUUUAUAAAAUGUGAGCAAGAUUUAGCACCAAAUUAUAUAUAUAUAUCUCAUAAACUGAAAUGAAUCAAAGUCUAUGACUUAUGGUAGCUAGCUAACAUCUAAAUCACAUCUCUCCUGUUGAUUCAUAUCCAGAAAGAAAAGAAAAGAAAUCUCUUAAUUUAAUAAGAGCACCAAGCAUCCAAAUGUGAGGUAAUGUAAAUUAGAAUAUUUAAUUUUUAAUUUAUAUUUCUCAUUUGUUACACUAAUUAAAGAAAGUGAAAAAAAUUAUAUUAAAAUUAGCUUUUCAAAAUACAUAUCUACCCAUAAAUAAGAUGAUGAUGAUAUAUGGUAAUAAUAUAUGAAAUAAAAUGAAUUGAAUUUUAUAUUUUGUAAAUAUAUGAAUUCAAUUUAUAAUUGAAUUUUAUUAUAAUAGACAAUUGGCUCCAAAUAGCAUGUUAAAGAUUUUAAUCUAUACUUGUUUUUUUUAAAUAAAUUGUUUUAAACCAUUUUAUAUCUAAUGUACGUACCUUUUAGUUAAAAGUUGUUUAACUUAUUUUUCUCAUAAAUUAUUCUUUUUUUUUUUUUUUUGUAAGACUUUCUACUUUUCUCAUAAAUUAUUUACGUCCUAAUCGAUUUCCUGACAGUGGCAUUCGUCGGUGGUGUUGUGGGGCUAGGCACGUUCAUUUUUUUUCAAAAAUCAAGCCUUUAAAACCCUUAGACUACUUUUGCUUAAAAAAUUAUUCAAAAUGAUGGUUCAACUUCAUUGCCAAAUAAGCCCUAAGUACGAACAUGGUCAUUUGGUUGGGACAACUAGCUGGCUGCAAGAACAUGCUCGUAUUAUGGGACGGGUUGCGGACAAUGAAAUGAAAAAUUAUUGUCCAUUAAUUUUAUUAGUAUUUUAUAUAUCUAAUUAAAAUUAUUUUAUAUCUAUUAAUUGAUGUUUUUAUAAUCAUUUGGUGGGCACAAUUUAAUCCCAGCUGGUAAUCAAACGAAGGAAAGCCUAUUGCUCAUUAAUUAGAUUUAAUACUACAUUUGAAGUUAAUCGUCCCAUUUCGCAUUGAUACAUAGAUUAAAAAAAAUGCCUUCAUAAUGUGUGCCCUUAUGGCAGAUUGUAAAAAAUAAAAUAAAAAAUACAAGCAAAAUAGAAUUAUCCCAGGAACAUCAAUUUCUUAGCAUGUAAUAGUAAAUAUUCUUUAAAGUUAAUCUUUCUUUUCUUUCUUUAAGCUAUUGAAAUACUUUUAUUUUUAUUUUUAAAAUACAUUUAUUAGAUUUUAAACAUCAAUUAAUUUUAUUAGUAUUUUAUAUAUUUAAUUAACCUAAUCCACGAUUUAACCUAAAUCAACAUUAGCAUUUCAAACACAUGAUUUUGUUAAUUCACAAUUAACAACCUAAAAUUACUAAUUAAAAACUUAAAUGACUUCUAAUUAAUCUAAUUCCUAAUUCAAAACCAUAACAUUCAAUAAAAUCAAAAUAAAACUAAUUAAACAUAAAUUACAUCAAAUUAAUUGAGAGGAAGUAUUCAAUAUACCUCUAAAAGUGAAAUGUGAGUGGUGAUGGUAACCGAUGAUUACUGUUUUGGCUGGAAAAUUCCAGACCAAUAGUUGGUAAAGAGAGAAAGAGGGAGGCUUCUAUGUAUGGAGCAAGAAAGAGAUAUGGGUGAUGUAGAGAUAAAUUAUUGUUUAAGGGCUAAUGGAGGUGUUUUUAGCGGUGGAGAGAGAGAGACAGAGAGAGAUUUAGGUGGUGGUGAGAGAGAGAGAGAGAGAGAGGAGGAAAGAAGAGAAAGGAAAAGAAAAGUCUGUCUUUAUCUUUAAUUCAAAAUGAGUCGCAAAUGCCAUCCAAGAAAUACGAGUCGCAUGUGACAUCUACGACACGAGUCACAGAUGACAUAUGUGACUUGUGAAACUGUGCUACAUUUAUAAUUGUUUUUUCAAUGGUGUUACUUUAUCAAUUUCUUUUAUUGGGUUGAAAAACCAAAAAAAAACUCUCAAAUUUCAAUGUAUAUCAAUCAAUCUUAGUCUCUAGUUGCUUUAUUAGAUUGGGAAACAACAGAAAUAUCUAUGGUCGAUUUAAAGGUGAUGGAAAAUAAAUAUUUGGGUACAUUUCUAGCCCCAAUCUAACGUUGCUGAUUUUUCUGGCAAAGUUGCAAUAAUUUACUAUGUUUUGAAAGUUUUUUUGGACUCUAGCUUAGUAACAAAAAUUGAUAAAAUAAUACAAUAUAAAAAUAUUUUUUUAAAAUAGCAUAGUUUAAAGAGUCACAAAUAAUAUAUAUGUGAUUCACGAGUCGCAAUAUCAAUUGUAACCCUCUUAAAUAUGAAAACAAUUCAAUAAAAAAAAAGAGAGAUGGAAGAAAAAGAAAAGGAAAAAAAAAUAUAAGAUCUCAAAGGCACGCCGAAAUUUCAAUGACAACACCAUUAACACCAUUGAAAAGAUCUUGAUAAGACGAGUUCAAUGGCACCCAAUGACACCAAGAGAGAUGACUAACAAUAACUUGAGUGGGCCACAAGAGAGGUCCAAAGACAAGUGAGGCUCGGCACCUUAGGGAAGCUCAUGUGGCUUACUCCGCUUACCAUUUGUGACCUUCUUUAGUGUCAUUAGACUUAUCUUGUCGAGAUCUUAUUUAUGGUACCAAUGGUAUCAUUAUCGAAGCUUCGGUGUGCUCCCAAGAUCUCUAUAGUUUUUUUAUUUCUCUCUCUUUUGUCUUUACAAAUUACGAGGAGAGAGGAGAGAGAAAAAACAAAGAAUGAAAAAAAUAACCUGGAAGCACACCAAUGCUCCAAUGAUGACACCAUUGAUAUCAUAAAAAAAUCUCAACAAGAUGAAUCUAACGUUACCAAAUAAUGUCACAAACGAUAAACAGAGUGGACCACACGAGUGGUCCAAAGGUUUUCACUUUCCUUUAGGUUAUUUGUGUGAUCCACUCCGAUUAUCGUUGGUAACCUUUCUAGGUGUCAUUGAAUUUUUUUCGUCAUGAUCUUUCCAAUGGUAUUAGUAGUGUCAUCAUUGGAGUUUUGUUGUGCCUCUAGGGAUUUUUUUGUCUUUUUUUCUUUCAUUUGUUUCUCUCUCUUCCCCCUUUAUUUUUAUUGAAUCUUGUGUCCAACAACUUUGUAAUUUAAGAGUCGCAUAUGACAUUUAUGACUCACAAAUCACAUAUGUUAUCUGUCACUCUCUAAAUUGUGAUAUGUUUCUAAAUACUUUUUGCAGUGUGUUAUUUUAUUAUUUUCUUUACUAUGCUAAAAACAAACACUUGUUUCCAUAUUGGUUAAUUUGGUUAUCAUCAACUCAGAUUAAUUUAUUCUCUAACUUUCGGAUUUCACUUAAUCAAAAAAGAAAAAAAGAAAAAAAAAAGAAAAAUAAUAAGUAAAGAAAAACAUGAGCCAUGUAAAAAUUUAUGGUUAAUUAGAGGAUGCUAAUUAGGGUGUCCAUGCCACGCUGUUGGCCAGAUUAAAAGUUGAUUUAAUAAUAAAAAUAAAGAAAAUACAUGGGUGAUGUUAAAUUUUGAGUUGACAAUAAAAAAUCUAAAAUAUGCAUUUAAACCUUGAUCAAUAUGUUUAAUAAAAUUAUUCAAAAAAAUUAUAUACGUAAAUAAAUGCUAAAAAAAAUUGUUAAUGACAAUUAAAAACUAAACUGAAACAUCAAUCGAUGGGUGCAAAUAAAGAAAUAUAAUCCCAUGAUAUAAAUAAAUGCUAAAAAAAGUUGUUAAUGACAAUUAAAAACUAAACUGAAACAUCAAUCGAUGGGUGCAAAUAAAGAAAUAUAAUCCCAUGAUAUAACAUGCUAUUCAUAAUAUUUAUUUAAUUAUUUGUCAUUUUGUUUUACGAGCAAAAAAAUAAUAUUUGAAUAAAAAACAAAACACUUUGCUAGCAUAGUUCCUUUGCUUUUUAUUUAUCUAGCAUUGCCCCAUGUUGUAGGGCAUUUGAUAGUCUAGGUUCCAAAUCAAAUCAUGUUGGUGUUGAUUUGGCAAGUUUCAUUUGAUCAAAGGGCUCAUCGUGACUCGGUUGCACAAUUUAAAAUUCGAUAUAGAUCCAAAAUAAUUUCGAGAAGCUUCCAUUUCAAACCUUUAUCUAACUUGAUCAAGCUCAAGGAUGAAGCAAGAAAAUGUCAAAGGAAAAAAUUGCAAAAAAGAGAGUUUAAGGAGCAAAAUAAAAAGACAAUGUCAUAUUAGAUCGACCUUCUCCAACACGGUCUAAUCGGCUAAAUGUGUGGUCAGGGUCACGACAUGAUCAUAAUGAGCUAACCUGGUUUAGCUAAUUGUCUCUUCCAUCUCUUUUCGCUUCCUUUUUUCUUGGUUAGGCCUUUAUUGGGCUUGUGUGAGAUGAAUUUUGAGACUAAACUAUAGAGCCACAAAAGAACUAGGGAGUAAAAAAAAAAACCCAAUAGUUUUUAGAGAACCAAAGAACAAAUGAAAAAAAAAAAUUUCUUUCAUUUCCUUUGCCUUUCGGUCUUCCUGGUUGAGAAUUCAUUAAGCUUAGGUGGAAUGGAGAUUGGGAUCAAAUUAAAGAGCUAUCAAAUAAUUAGGAACCAAAUAAAAAUAUCAAAGUACUAGGGACUAAAUUAAAAAACUAUGAGGGACUAAAUUAAAAAAAAAAACAGAAGCCGUUGUGUUUGGAUGAUGCACCUGUUUUCCUUUAAGACCUGAUACGACCCUUUUUUAUGUCGUUAGAAUGGUCUUGUCAUCUCCUUUAUCCCAUGAAGAUGUGUGUUGUUGAUGAAAAAACAAUGUAGCUUUUACAUCAUUUUUACUUGAAAAAUAAUAUUUUGCGGUUAUCCAUAGUGAUUCAUGAGAUAAAUAUAUGUUUUUUUUUCAAAGUAUUUUUUUAAUAAUGCUAGUUAUUUGAUCAAUGAUGUUAAAUAAAAUCUUUAAAAUCUUUCAAGUUUUAAUGUAAAUAAUCUGCAUAUAACUGGACUAAAAAAGUGUGAUGGGGUGGUAUGUGUCAUAAAUCCCACAAUGAGACAAAUAUAAGAAACAUGUUGGGGUAUGUAUGCAUAACGUUGACAACCAUCUCUCUUUCAUUUUUGUGACCAUGAAUUUAUGUUUUCUUGCAUGAAUUCACUAGUUUCAGUUCUUAGCAAAACAUUUAAAGUGGCUUUGGGAUCCUUCUAAUACCCCAACAUAAGUUUAAAUGUAAGUGAUAAAAAGAGUAUAUGUUGAAGAAGUUAUGUACAAUGAUCAUUUUAUGAUUACUAUAUAUGCCUAUAUUUGUUGACAUAUUUUUCCCAUUUUUGAAUGUUUUAAGGUAUAUAGAAGAGGAAGAUCUACUAAGGUUCUUGAAGACCGUGGAGGUUUAUACCAUAUUUCCUCUCUUUGAAGGAGCUGUUGAGACUGGAAAAAUCACUAAAUCUUCUUUCAGAAAUUGGGUGGUAAAAAAUCCAAAACCCACUUGCUUUAUUUUUUGUUUUAAAGGCCUCACCUUACUAUGUUUACAUGCAGUGAACAUGAAAAGUCCUCAUACGUUAAAAGAUGCUUGCUUUCAAAUUAGGAUUCAUAAUUUGUUGUUUAGUUGAAAAGGAGAUUUAAUGCUUAAUUAAUUAUAUCAUCAUUGCCAAUUGAUCAAGCCUAUAUGGUGUGAAUUUGAUUCUAGGAUUCCAUACAUAGUACCAUUUUCUCUCCUUUAACCCCUCUAAUCAAGCACUAAAAUGGGAUUUACUUUUUCCUAUGUUUAUGUUUUCAAUUGCUAGGUGCAUGCCUAUGUUGAGAGAAAAGCAUUGGCACAUUCCUUGAAUGAUACCAAGACUGCUGUCCAGCAACUUCACAAGUUAGCAAGUGCAAUAGUGACUGUAAUUAUAAUUGUGAUCUCCCUUUUGGUAACGGGAUUGGCGACGACCAAGGUUUUAGUUGUUUUCACAUCUCAACUGCUACUCGUGGGGUUCAUGUUUCAAAACACUUGCAAAACUAUCUUUGAGUCCAUCAUUUUCGUCUUUGUUAUGCAUCCUUUUGAUGUUGGCGAUCGUUGUGUUAUUGAUGGCGUACAGGUAAACUUUUUUUUUAUUAUUAUUAUUUCUAAGCCCCUAACUAGCUAGCUAGUCAUAACAUAGUUGAACCUAAUUUAAUGAAUAUAUAUAUAUAUAUAUAUAUAUAUAUAUAUAUAUAUAUAUAUAUUGCAGAUGAUUGUCGAAGAGAUGAACAUUUUGACAACUGUGUUCUUACGGUAUGAUGCGGAGAAGAUAUAUUAUCCCAAUUCUGUUCUUCUUACAAAGCCUAUCAGUAAUUUCAGAAGAAGUCCAGACAUGGGGGAUUCUAUUGACAUCACCAUUGAUGUGUCAACUUCUGUUGAUGACUUCAAUGCUCUUAAGAAAGCUAUACAACUGUAAGUUAUUAAUCUCAUUUGCAUUCAAAAUAUUUCUAGUGCUAGACAAAAUUACCUCUUAAAGUAAUUAGCUUGCCUAAAUCACACUUGUUUUGCUAAUAGAAAUCAAUAUUUUCUAGAUAUUAGUUAAUUAUUACCGAUUUUUCUAUAUAUAUCUAGCACAUUAUGUAACACAUAUAUUGGUAUUAUGCUGAUAAAAUGCAAAAGCUUUAGAGAUUGGUUAAUUGAUAAUUAGUAUUUUUAUUAGUUUUCAAGAAAAUACCAUUAUGGAAUACUGCAGAUACAUUGAGAGCAAACCAAAGCACUGGAACCCAAAGCACACAUUGCUGGUGAAGGAGAUAGAAAAUGUAAACAAGAUGAAGCUUACUCUAUGUGUUCAACACACCAUGAACCAUCAAAACUACGGGGAAAAGAGCGCUCGAAGAUCGGAGCUUGUUUUUGAACUAAAGAAGAUUUUUGACAACCUUGGCAUUAAGUGCCAUCUCCUUCCACAACAAGUACAUCUUAUGCAUGUAGAUAUGACCCGCAAUGGGGGAAUGUCAAUGUAAUCUUCAUACAAAUGCAAUUAUUUGGAGUGGAAAAAGAAAAUUAUCACACAUUCAAUAUGGCCAUAUACCAGCCAUUCUCUUGCAUGUAUUUUCUUUUCCUUUUGUUAACUUCUUUGCUGUAGCUUAAAUUACUGCGAGAAUUAAUGAUGGAAAAGAAAAAAAUUAUAUAUAGGGAGUGCUUUUAUAAUUAAUAAAAUUCUUUUCUCAUUUCAUAUCGAUCACAUUAGUAGCCCUGUAGUGAAUACUAUAUAUGAAUUUAUCGAUCAUGUUAAUUGACUCGGCUAGGGUAAUAUGAUUUCGCGUAGGGAAAACUUCGUUCUCUGACCGCGAUAGCCAGUCUUUUCAGACGGGAGAAUCAAAGAAGCUUGUGAGCUUACGAGCGAGUCGGUCCGGCUUGCAGGGGAUGCUCGGAAUAAUUGUUCUAUAUAGCAUUCUUCCCGGCUCAGACUAGCUCAGCUUGAGGAGCUUUAUCAGCAGAACUGAUGAGUUCAUCGUCCACCGCAGCAACCAGGACAACAUUAUUUGUGGCAAGAUGUUGGCCUCUGACGAAAUUUCAGGAGCAAUACAUGACAUUCUAGGAGCAACAAAUCCUGCUCAGCUCAGCAACCAACAACAACAAGUAAUUUAUGGAGAGACGUUGGAUCCUGACAAAAUCCCAUAAACAACAAUCGAAACUUCAGCAGCAACAAACUCUCCUCAGAUCAGCAACCAACAGGAUAAUGUAAUCUAUGGAGAGAUGUUGGGGGUUAAUUCACUUGAAUAGUAUGGACACAAAACAAAUGCUAAGUUACCACGUUAAUAGUGCAAACACAACGAAAAACAAAGCAUGCUAGAGGUGAAGAGAAACAGACCUGGAGACGAAGAAACCAUAGUGGCAUUUUUUUUGCAGAUUGUUUUUGCAGAAAAAUGGAGCAAAAAGCAUUUUUUCUAUCUUUCUUUUUUUGUUUUCUCUGCUCAUUCUUUCUUUUUCUCGCUGCCCCCACUAGGUCAUUAGAGAGGCUUAUAUAUAGUCUAAUAUAUCUCUAUUCAGAAAAGAUUUAAUGCAUUAAUUCUAGGAAGCAAAUCCCUACAGAUUUGCAAUAACAAAAAUGCAAAAAGGAAACUGAAAUAUUCUGAUUUCUAUUAUGAUUAUAGCAAUUAGUUUUCAUUGAUCAAAUGGUGGUAUAGCUCCUUUUUUUCCUUCCAUAGCUGUGACCAUGAAGUACCAGCUGCUCUCUUUUAAAUGAGACAAAAAAAAAACGUGGCCUUCAGCUCUCCAUUCAAGUGAGAGAAACAUGGAAACCAAACAUGAAAUUGCAAAUAAAAAGGAAAGAAAAAAACAGGCUAGCUGUGCAGGUUAAAACGUGGUUUCUCCAAUUUCUUCCUUCUACAAAAUUACUUCUAAUUUUAUCUUCAAUCAACUUCCUUGUUUUAGCACCUUUUCCAAUUGGUACUUGGUCCAAAAAAGGGCUUCAAACUUUAAGCAUCUUGCAAUUGUGUCCCUGCAAACUCGGGCAAAAAAAAAAUCCUUCUCGCUGUAGGAAUCUCUACUUUUACACUAGAUAUUCAAACAGGAAUAUCUUGAGCUUUUGAUAUCAAAAUCAAGCUAUUAAAAAGUCUAAAUUUAUCUACGCAUCCAGGACUACAACUUUGAUGAAGGAGUCAAAGUGAGAUAAAAUCGUUUCAGAAAACAAAUUCUAGCAUUAAUUUGGUUGAUGAAAAAGGGUCUCCAGAUCUAAUUCAUAAACUAACAAUGCCGAAUACCGCGAUAUGACUGACAGUAUGACCUAAGAACAAAUCAACAAAAUUUGUGACAUAAAUAGUGUUUUUAGUGCAAAACUUGGGUCAAGAUCCUUCUCGUGCCAGAGUUCUCUACUUUCAUGUUAGAUAUUCAAACAAGAAUAUCUUGAGCUUCUAAUAUCAAAAUCAAGCGAUUCAAAAAUCCAAAAUUUAUCUACCCGUCCAGGACUACAACUUUGAUGAAGGAGUCCAACUGAGAUAAAAUCCUUUGAGAACAGAAUUUGGCAGCAAUCUGGUUGAUAAAAAAGGAUCUCCUGAUCUAAUUCAGAAAUUGACAAUGCCGAGAAUCCUGAUAUGACUGAGAGUAUGACCUAAGAACAACUCAACAAAAUUUGUGAUGGAAAUAGAGUUUUUAGUGCAAAACUCGGGUCAGGAUCCUUCUUGCGGAAGAAUUCUCUACUUUCACGUUAGAUAUUCAAACAAGAAUAUCUUAAGCUUCUGAUAUCGAAAUCAACCAAUUCAAAAGCCCAAAUUUAUCUAUGCAUACAGGAAUAUAACUUUCAUGAAGGAGUCGAAGUGAGAUAAAAUCAUUUCAGAGAACAAAAUCUAGCAGUAAUCUGGUUGAUCAAAAAGGGUCUCCUGAUAUAAUUCAGAAACUGACAAUGCCAAGAAUCGUGAUAUGACUGAGAGUAUGAUCUAAGAAUAAAUCAACAAAAUUUGUGAUGGAAAUAGAGUUUUUAGUGCAAAACUCGAGUUAGGAUCCUUCUCGUGGUAGAAUUCUCUACUUUCAUGUUAGAUAAUCAAACAGGAAUAUCUUGAGCUUCUGAUAUCAAAAUCAAGUGAUUCAAAAUCCCAAUUUUAUCUACGUGUCUAGGACUACAACUUUGAUGAAGGAGUCGAACUGAGAUAAAAUCAUUCUAGAGAACAGAAUCUGGCAGCAAUCUGGUUGAUCAAAAAGGGUUUCCUAAUCUAAUUCAGAAACUAACAAUGCUGAGAAUCUCGAUAUGACUGAGAGGAUGACCUAAGAACAACUUAACAAAAUCUGUAACGAAAAUAGAGUUUUUAGUGCAAAACUCGGGUUAGGAUCCUUCUCGCGUCAGAAUUCUCUACUUUCUUGUUAGAUAUUCAAACGUGAAUAUCUAACGCUUCUGAUAUCGAAAUCAAGUGAUUCAAAAAUCUUAAAUUUAUCUACAGAUCCAGGACUACAACUUUGAUGAAAGAGUCGAAGUGAAAUAAAAUCGUUUUAGAGAAGAGAAUCUGGUUGAUCAAAAAGGGUCUCCUGAUCUAAUUCAGAAACUAACAAUGCCGAGAAUCCCGAUAUGACUAAGAGUAUGACCUAAGAACAAAUCAAUAAAAUUUUUGACGGAAAUAGAGUUUUUAGUGCAGAACUCAGGUCAGGAUCCUUAUCGUGGUAGAAUUCUCUACUUUCACGUUAGAUAUUCAAAAAGGAAUAUAUUGAGUUUCUGAUAUCUAAAUCAAAGGAUUCAAAAAUCCCAUUUAUCUAUGUGUCUAGGACUACUAAUAUGAUGAAGGAGUUGAAGUGAGAUAAAAUCAUUUUAGAGAACAGAAUUUGGCAGUAAUCUGGUUGAUAAAAAAGGGUCUCCUAAUCUAAUUUAGAAACUGACAAUGCCGAGAAUUCCAAUAUUACUGAGAGUAUGACCUAAGAAAAAAUCAACAAAAAAUGUUAUGGAAAUAGAGUUUUUAGGGCAAAACUCGGGUCAGGAUCCUUCUCGCGGUAGAAUUCUCUUCUUUCAUAUUAGAUAUUCAAACAAGAAUAUCUUGAGCUUCUAAUAACAAAAUCAAGCAAUUAAAAAUCCCAAAUUUAUCUAUGCAUCAAGGAAUACAACUUUGAUGAAGGAGUCGAAGUGAGAUAAAAUCGUUUUAGAGAAUAGAAUCUGGCAGUAAUCUAGUUGAUAAAAAAUGGUCUCCUGAUGUAAUUCAGAAACUGACAAAGUUGAGAAUCCCAAUGUGACUGAUAGUAUGACCUAAGAACAAAUCAAUAAGAUUUAUUAUGGAAAUAGAGUUUUUAGUGCAAAACUCGAGUCAGGAUCCUUCUCAUGGCAGAAUUCUCUACUUUCACAUUAGAUAUUCAAACGGAAAUAUCUUAAGCUUCUGAUAUCGAAAUCAACCAAUUCAAAAGCCCAAAUUUAUCUAUGCAUACAGGAAUAUAACUUUCAUGAAGGAGUUAAAGUGAGAUAAAAUUGUUUUAGAGAACAAAAUCUGGUAGUAAUCUGGUUGAUCAAAAAGGGUCUCCUGAUCUAAUUCAGAAACUGAAAAUGUUAAGAAUCCCGGUAUGAUUGAGAGUAUGACCUAAAAAAAAUCAACAAAAUUUGUGAUGGAAAUAGUGUUUUUAGUGCAAAACUCGGGCCAGGAUCCUUCUUGCGAUAUAAUUCUCUACUUUCACAUUAGAUAUUCAAAAAGUAAUAUCUUGAGCUUCUAAUAUUGAAAUCAAACGAUUCAAAAAUCCCAAAUUUAUCUAUGCAUCCAGGACUACAACUUUGAUGAAGGAGUCGAAGUGAGAUAAAAUCAUUUUAGAGAACAGAAUUUGGCAAUAAUCUGGUUGAUCAAAAAAGGUUCUUGAUCUGAGAAUGUCGAGCAUCUAAAUUUGACUGAGAGUCUGCCCUAAGAACAGUGAUCCCUAGGACCCAAUAAAGGUGUAGGUUAAUUUUUCAACAUGUCAUGAGUGACAGAAUAUAGCUAGGAUGGUCAGAUAUCGUACGAAACCAAGUCAGAAUCAGAGCCUAAGUUGGAACAAAAAAUCACGACAGCAGCAGAACCAGUUUUGUUUUUGUGCAAAUUAUGAGGGAUUUAUCCAACCUUAAAGACUAGAUAAAGAAAGAAUGAAUUUAGGAUUAUAAAAACUCCUGAUCAAUCUAAGAAAACCUGACGAUUUUGGCACUAUAGAGGAAGGAUAAAAGGAGUAGAAAACAACUCAAAUAGAGUUUCAAAAAAAAAAAAAAAUUCUUUCUCUGCUUUUGUCAAUCUUCUAGUAAACAUGAGCAAAACUCCUAUAUUUAAUUCAAAAGAGGUAUACACCGUCUCUAGCACAUAGGGUCCAAAAAUGAGUAACAACACCUGUUUUGUGGAUGAUUUUUUCAAAUACACUUGGAUUAUACCUUUGAUGGGGAAAUGUCUUAUUUAAGGAAAAUAACAGAUUUAUGGCAUCUUGUUCUUAGAUGGAAAAAUGUUUUGUUUAAGGAGUUGUCACUCAGUAUUAUGGUCAUUAGGAACCCUAACUAGUCAACAUAGAUUAUAUUAUAAGGGAUUGGUAACGUAAAAGGAAAGAUAUUAUUUCCCCAUAAAUGUCUUGCCUGAGGCAGAUUGCAUUGCUAGUUUUGUCUUAAAUUACUAAAAGUUUGUUAGUUUAUGCUACGAUGGUUUGAUUGUAAUAUUCCUGACUUUAGCGUUAAUAAAUAUUCAACUAGGGAUACUUCCAACUCUAGUGUUGGUAAAUAUCACUACCAGAAAAUCAACAAAUACAAACGGAAAUACCGAGGGAAUUACUGUGGGAAAAAAAAAUUAAAACAAAGCAAAAAAAAUGAUGACGUGUCAUUUUUUACCAACAGAAUUACUGGUUGAAUUAUUCGUAAACUGUUCAUCAUGUCAAUUACAAAGGGAAUUACUGACGGACAAUUCCGUUGAUAUUUUCCAGAGAGCUCCAGAACUGUUCAUUUUUCAAUUGCACUGUUAAUUGUUUUACUUUACGGACAAAAUCACCGACGGAUUGAAAAUUCGUUGGUGUGUUUUGGCUGUUUUCUGAAAAAAUUCAAUUGAUUUAAAAUUUUCAUUUAAAUAUUACAGACGGAAUCACCGACAGAUUGAAAAAUCAUCAGUAAUUUUUGGCGGUUUCUGAAAAUUUUUUAUGAAAUUAAAAAUUUAAAUUAAAUAGUACCGACGAAAUUAUCGACAGAAUAAUUAAAAAAUAUUAAUAUUCAAUUAUCCGUCGGUAAAUCCGUCAGUAACGCUCCCCAAUAAAAAACUUGAAUCCGCUUAUUUCACAAGAGAUAGACUCAUUAUUUCUUUUCAUUCUUCUACUACUUCUACUUCUUUUUCUUCUUCUUUUUCUUCUUCUUCUUCACUAUAUGUAAAAAACAUCAAUAUCUAUUUCUUUCUCUUCUUUUCUCUCCUCAUCUCCUUCUCUUUUCCUCCAUGCUUGGGUAUGUCUUCUUCUUCUUUCUUCUUUUAUCCUCUUAGUUUUUUUUUAAUUAAUAUGCUUUACGAAUUUUUUUUUCCUUAGCUUCACUUGCAAGUAUAUUAAGGUAAGAUUUUUCUUUUUUCUUAUUUUUUCAUGAUUUUUUUCACUAUAUUUUUUUUAUUUAAUUUUAAUUGAUUUUGUUCAUAAUAAUUGUAUAAAUGUUGUUGUGAGAUUUGUUUUUCAUAUAAAUCAAUUUUUAGUUGAUUUAUUUAUAGGAUUUUUAAAUUUUUAGCUAUUGCAACUUCAUUUUUUUCAUAUGAAUUUUUUUAGUUGAAUUAAGUUUUUUGUUUUAUUUAUUUGUUGCAAAUUUGUUUGAGUUGAUUAUCUUAUUCUUUUUUCCAAGCAUUUUGAGUAUAUAUUAUACAAUGUUGAUUUAUGUUAAUUUAAUUAUUUUAUAAAAUGAAUUUUUUUAAAAAAUGUUUUUAAAUAAUUACCGACGGAAAUUUCCGUCGAUAAAUCCGUAGGUAAUAAAAACAAAUUAGCGACGCGUCUGUUUCGCCAAUAAAUCCGGCGAUAAUAUCAUUACCGAUGAACAAAAAAUUAUCAACGAAAGAUUCACCGAUGGAAAUUCUUCGUCGGUGAUUUCAUCGGUAAAUUAAUUACCGAUGGAAUAUGUGUCUUACGCCGACGGAAAAAUUCCGUCGGUAAAACUAUUAAAUCUUGUAGUGUAUGAUGUAUGAUAUUCCUAACUCUAGCGUCAAUGAAUAAACCAAUAAAUUAAAUUUAAAUCAAUGCAUGCAUAUUUUUGUUUAUUUAUUUUUCUCUAAAAAUAAAAAUAAAACAUAUCGUACACUAGAUUUACAUUUCAUAAUAAAAAUCCAUAGAUUAAUUAUACAGUGAAAUACCUAAAAAAAUAUGAUGGACCUAAAAAUAAAUUCAAAAAGGUGCUUGUUUGACCACAUAUCAAAACAAAAAGGAAUACAAUAAAAGGGAUUGGCAUAAAGGUGUGUUUUGUCAAACACACUUUUGGCCAAAAUAGAUUGGCCGGAUGGUCACUGUGCAUGCAUGCCUGGAUUAUUCACGCAUGCUUUGCAUACAAUAUUUAUAUUUCUAAGGGGAGGGAAAACAAAAGCUUACUUGUGUAGUUGGGAAUGAAACCGACAAUGAUGGUGUAUCGGACGAUGCUCUUUCUGUUCCUCUUUUCGUUUGUUUUACCUUUGGUUGUUCUUUUCUUCAACUUUGUUUUCUCUAUUCGUAUUCUCUGGUUCCCUCCCUUUUUAUUUUUGUCCUUGUUUUUGUUUGUUUGCUUCUCUCUCUCUCUUUACUAGUCAUGUGUCGCUGGCAUUGAGAAGGACUCUGCUUUGAAAGGUGGAUGGCCAAAUCACGACUGAGGAUAGAGUUGCUGUUGAGGUUGUGGCUUUCGGUGAUGGCUGUCAUGAUGUUGUUGCACUGUUUUCUUGAGUUUGCUCAUGGUUGCUGGAGUUUUGAAGGAGAUUCUACGGUCUUUCUCCUCUGUUUCACUUUGCCUCCUGGUUUCCUCUCCCUACUAUUUUGUUUUAUUGUCUUUCUCUUUAUGAGUUUUUUUUAGCCUGUCUCUAUACCUCUCUUUUUUUAGUUCGCCUUUCUCUGGCCUUCUAUAAGGCCAGAGAGAGUAAAUGAAGUCGUUAACAAUCCUGCUCAUGGAGGACUGUUAAUCGAUUUGGAAACAGAAUCAUGGGUAGGAGACGUGGUCCGGGUUUAGUGUUAUUUCUUCCUGUAAAUGCAAUACCAGAAGUUCUCUUAAAACCAACGGAAUUACCAAUAAAAUAAUUUUGUCGAUUAUUUGCGGUGAUAAUUAUCGACAAACACUAUUCCAUCUGUAAUUUAGACGGUAUAUACUGACGAAAUACUGUGGUUUGUAUAUACCGACAGAAUUAUAAACAGAAUAUUCAGAAAUAAUAAAAAAAAAAAGCAGUUUGCUAAUGUGGAACUUUUUGUGGGCAAUUUUACUGAUGGAAGCACCGAGGGAUUCAAACCGGGAUCUCUGUAUAGUGACGUGACCAAUUCAUUGUCAGACUUGCCGACAGAAUCACCGACAGAGGUAUUUUGUUGGUGAUUCCGUCAGCAAAAGUUAAUACAUCACCACUCUGCCGACCCUCUCCUCCUUAUUUCUCCUUCUUCUCCCCAUCCCAACUCUACCCUCCCAAACUCCAAACAACCAGCCCAAAAAAAAAAAUCUCCCUAUUCUCAGCACAAGUCAUAUUUCUUUAAGUUUUGUGAUCACAACAUUCGUGCUCUAGUUUAUUGUGGAUUUUAUUAUUUUUUGUAAGUAAAUCUAUCUUUUUUAAUUUUAACAUUUAAAUGUCAAUUUUAUUUAUCUUUUAGUAUAUGUAUUUUGUUAAAGUACGUACAUAUUUUAUUGUUAUUUUUCAAACAAACUUAUAGUAUAUAAAUGUAUAAUUUUGUACUUGUUAUGGUUUGUUUUAGAUUUGGUAAAAUUGUAUUUCAUUGUAAAUUGUUGAAACUUUGUUGAAUUACCGAAUUACAUGUGUUGUGGUGAAAUAAUUAAUAGCUUGUUUAACAGGUCCGUUUUAAUUUUUAUCAAUGCUAUUGCGGAGUUGUAAUUUCCAUAAAUUUACAAGUAUAAAUUUAUAUGGAUGUUGAUAAUUGAUAAUGAAUAUUUAUGAGAAGUUGUAAUUAUCUUGUUGGUCAAAUUUAUUUACCUAACAUAGUUAAUUAAUACAUGUUGUCAUCAUAAUUUUAUAGAGAUUUGAUAAAAGUCAUGGAUGAUCAUUCAUGGAUGUAUCGAGAUUCACCUCAAGGAUUGCAGAGGAUGAAUUAUUGUAACAGAGUUCAGUAAUUUAUUAAUGUCGCAACAUCUAUUCCUAGAAAUUUUACUGAAAGCAAUAUUAGGUAUCCUGUAGGAAAUGUGAAAAUAAAAAGUAUAUGCAUUCAAAUGUUGUAAUAAUGCAUCUUCUACACAAAGGGUUUAUAGAAAAUUACUUGUGUCGGUAUGCACACGGAGAAGUAUUUGUUCGUAAUAAGAGCAUGGAAGAAAGGGUGGUUGGGUCAACUUCUAGUACUAACAACGUGUAUAGAGUUGCAAAUGACAAAAGUAAUUCUUAUAGGAAUAUGAUUAUGGAUGCAAUGAGAAUGAAUCAAAGUAAUGUCAGUCAAUGUCCAAUAGUAGAAGAAUAACCUAAUGUAGAUACAAUUAGGUUUUUGAUCUAUUGAAAGAUUAUAACGAAUCAUUAUGGGAUAACUAUACAAACUAUAGUAGUUUGGUUUAGAGAAGGCUAUUAAAGCUGUGUUUUUCAGCCAAGGUAAGGAUGGUUUUUGCAUUGUGAGGGGGAGCUACUCACUGUGGUCUAUUAAAGCUGUGUUUUUCAGCCCAGGUGAGGGUGGUUUUUGCAUGGUGAGGGGGAGCUACUCACUGUGGUUAUGAGCUGUGGUGAAGAGGCUGUUACUGGUGAAGAUGAUAGCAUUUUUUUUAUAUGGCUGACGACUCCUUUUGUCAAGAUAAAGUUAGGUUUUUUGCAUUUGUACGAGGGUGAGUGAGCUAGAGAAAAAAAUGUGGAAAAUAGUUUUUGGAUUUUGUUUUUGUCUCCCCUCCCUUUUCUAGUGUGAGAUAACCAAAUGAUUUUUUUUUUCUUUCAAUUACUUGGUUACCAAACAAUUUAAAUUUUUUAAUCCUUCAAUUUCUUCUUUUUUUAUUUUUGGUCCCUUUUUCUAUUUAUUAUAUAUUUUAUUCUUUUUAUUUUUUUUGUAUUUUGAUUUUUUUAAUAAAGCAGCAUCAAUGUCAACUUAAUGAGAAGAAUUAAUUAGUUAUUUUGAAAUGUAUACAUUAACAGUAGAAUACGUUGAAAAUAAAUUUUUAAAUUCUGAAUUUUUUUGAAAAGAUGCGGAUGUCACAAAUACAGCAAGAAUAAUUUUUUAAAAAAUAUAUAUUUAAAAAAACAAGAGACAAAAAAUAAACUAUAAUCAUAAUAUUAAUUUCAAAUAUUUCUAGUAACUCUGUUUAUAAUAGCAGCUGCAAAUAACUUGUGAGAAAGUGCAAAGAGUUUCUUAGACCCUUAUCAGCUGGUUCGGUGAAGAGGGUAUUGCUGAUUGUUCUGCAAAUAACAGGAGUCAGUUUCAUAAUUGAAAUGCUUACCAUUAGUGAAAAUGAAACCAAGAGUGUGCUCCCUAUUUACUAACUAUAGAGUAAAGUUGGGCAUCUUUGUUUCUCUACCUCACAAACUCGAGGCCAUAAUCAUAGUUGCUCGACAGCUAUGGUCUUCUCUAUAGUAUACAAUCUUCUCGCUUGCUUCCCUAUUGAUUUUUGUGGUUCAAAAAUAUUUAAAAAAAAAAUUAAAUUUUUUUUAUUUUUUAUUUACUUCAAAUUAAUAUAUUUUUAAUGUUUUUAGAUUAUUUUAAUAUGCUAAUAUUAAAAAUAAUUUUUAAAAAAUAAAAAAAUAUAUUAUUUUGAUAUAUUUCUAAAUAAAAAAUAUUUUAAAAAAUAAUUGCAAUUAUACUUUCAAAUAGGUGUUUGAUAGCCUGUGUUGUAUUAUGUUGAUUGUGAUUCUAAGAAACUUCAACAAUGAAGUUAUGCUUCCAAAAGUCUUGAAAGUUCAUUUCGAUUCUAUGAUCACAGUUUUCAGUAAUACGAUGUAGCUGUCACUUCACUUUUGUGAUACUAAGAAUGUGUUUGGUAUUGCGGUAGCUGUUGUGGUUGUGGUUUAAAAAAAGUUGUUUUAUAAAAAGUAUUUUUAGUUGAGGUUGGUUUGAAAAAAUAGAUGUUUGGUUAAAACUGUGGUUAAAAUUGAGGUUGAAGAAAAAGUAAUUUUAAUGUGUUUGGUUAAGAAUGCUUUUGAAAUUGAGGUUAUAAAAUAAUUUUAAAAAUAUAUAUAUUAAUAUUGAUGGUUUUUAAUUUAAAUUUUAUGGAUUUAACUAUUGCUAUUACAUCAUGAAAUAAAUCACACUUAAAAAAUUACUUUAACAAAAUUAGAUAAAAUAUUAUCAAGAAUAAAAUUAAGAUUACACUACGAGUAAAUUUAAUUCACCUUAAACUAAUUUAAAAAAAAAUAAAAAAUAAAAAUUAUUGUUCACGUGAAUAGUACUAGUGAAAUCAAUUAACUACAUUGGUGUAAAAAAAAAAGAAUUGUUCAGUGCAUGCCUCCACUGUUUUUUUUUUAAAAAAAAAAACUGUUUGGUGAACAGUAGAGCUGCCAUGCAAAAAGCAGCAAUUUGCUGCUUUUCAUUUUCAUGGGGCGAGAACACAAUAAAUAGAGGGAUCCAUGCAUAGUAAACAAUUUUUUUUAUUUAACCAAAUACUGAGGUAGUGCGUUUGUGAAGAAAUGCAACUUCUACCUCGUAGCCAAACGGGCUGUAAAACGUCCUGUUUUUUAUGACUGCACUUAAUUUGCAUGCUUUUCUGAAUCUUCUUUGUUCUACUUCUCCUGGGAUUCUUUUCUUGACUUUGUUAUGAACUAGUUGCCGACUCACGGGCUGCAAGUCAUAUCCUCAAGUUAUUUGUCUGGUUCUUGAUUCGAGAUUGUAUUUGCUCUCAUAUUGAACUUGAGACAUAUUUGUCUGUUUCAUUUCCUAUAUUUUGAAAUUCCAUAUUCCAUAUUAGCCUCAAAAUCAAAUUGAUGUCCUACUUGUUAUUUAGAAGUUAGAUUAUCUUCUUCUUCUUUUUUGCAGGAAAUUAUUGGGAGAGUCCCUCAAGGGUAUUAAGGGAGCCUUUGACAUUUAAGUUGGGAUCUCUUAUGUAACUUUUGCUGCCUAUCAUUUCUUUCUCUCCGUAAAAACAAAAUGUUCAAAAAUUUACUCCAUUUUUCCAUUCAAAAGCACCCAAAAGAAAGAAAAGUAGAUAUUGAUUGUUUUCUCUAGAGAAAAUCCAUGUGAAUACUUGUGUUCAUGCGACAAUACACCAUCUUCCUCUUCUUCAAUCCUUUAAAUGGUGUUGUCAAGGGCGGAGCCAAGAAUUUUUUUUGUCUUAGGCUUCACAAUAAAAUCUUAAUUUAAAUAUAUUAUUCAAAAUAUUAAAAAAUAAUUUGAAACUACAUAAAAUUAAAGUGAAAGUAAAAAUAACCUCAUUAUUAAAAUUAAACCCUUUUAUAUUUUAUGAAAUAUAAUUUAUCUAUAAAAUCUGAUUCAAUAUUUUCAGCAAGCUCUCGUUCAUCAUAAAAUAUAUUAACUCUUUUAUUUUAUUGUGAAACACAUUUUUAACAUGCUUCAUAUAUGAAAAUUAUCACUCUUUGAUGGUAGUAAGAACAUGCAAAGUCAAAAUAAAACGAAUCGACCUGUUAAUUAAUCAAAUUAUUGUAUUGCGACUUAUUUGUUACGAUUAAUCCCUUACAUAAUUUGAAAAUAGUAGACAUGUUUUGAAAGCUCUCAUGAUGAAUUAUAUCAUUUUGAUAAUACUCUAGCUAAGAUCUCAAAUAAUGCAUCUUUUAUUUAUUGAAAUCUUCAAAAUAAAAAUUAUCAACAAGCUUGCAAAUAGAUUUAAUUUUAAUUAUUUAAAGUUGUCUUUAAAUUCUAAAGCAAAGUUAAGUAUAAAAAGUUUCAUUUUCCAUCAUUAAAUCUAGAAUCAAACUCUUUUAAUUAAAAAUCUAUUGCCGAGUUAAAUAUAUUAUAAUGAUAGUUUUAGUAAACUGUCAUUAAUCCUUGCUACUGACAUGAACAACCUAUACCCUUUUAUAUAAAGUAUUUAUAUGAGGUAUGCCAAUUUUUUAUUGUAUGUAAACAAAUUGCACAUAUGCAAGGAGAAUAUCAAAUCCAACAUCUUUUAAAGUUUAAAACAAUGUUUUAGUAGUUGAAAUAAGAUUAAGUUGAAUUUAUGUGACGGAUAGUACCAUACAAUAAAUGAAAGAAAGGAAAGGUGUGUUGCUUUUAUCAAAUUGUUGAGUUGAAUAUGUAUGGAAACAAGAAAAGUAAUCUAGCACAAGGAAGGAUACAAUUUUCACUUUGGCUCUCUUAACUUAAAAGGAUAGAGAUUUUAAUUUUUUUAAAAAGUGGCUAAUUUAUAGACAUAGCAUGUUUUUCUUGAGCUAAUUUAGUUAAUUGUAAAUUAGAUUAAUUUAAUGUUAGUAUAAAAAAUUAUUGAUAAAAUAUUAACCUGGGCUAUAGCCAGCCAAGUCUUUAAUAUAGAUCCGCUCUUGGGUGUUGCCAAAACAUAUUCUAGGCUACUUCUGCAAUGCAAUGGAUAAACCCAUCACAAUUCCCUUAACAUUCAAGUGUUGAUAUUCUUGGCUUUCUCUGUUAUCAAUAGCUUGACAUUCAUGGGGAAGCAUGGUAAGAUUUAAGAUUAAAUUCAGUUUCUUUAAGAGCAAAAAAGAAAAGGACUAAAGACACUUUUGAAAAAAUAACAAUUAAACUAUUGAUAACAGAGAAAGCCAAGAAUAUUAAACAUAUUAAUAGUUUAAUUGUUAUUUUUUUCAAAAAGUGCAUUAAAGAGAAUGCUCUUACUGCAACCAAAGAACUAAAGACAAUCUUGAUAUUUAAAAAAAUAUGACAAAAGUUAUAAAAUGAUAAAACUAAAUUAUGAUCUUUCUAAAAAGACAACAAAAUUUGACAAAAGGUUACACUUGUAACUUUCCAUUGUUUUAUGCAUUGAACUCUUUUCCGAUUUUUUUUCUUUCGCUUACCUUAUAUAAUGUAAAAUAUUUUGAUAUUAAAUUAAUAAUCAAUUUAAUAAUAAAUAUUUUUAGCUUAUUGUUAAAACAAAAUUGAGAGAUGAAUGCUCAAAUUUGACAUAAAGAAACAGAACCCUUUUCUAUAAAAUAAAAAUGUGCAAAAUUAUAAUUUAGUCCUUUAAAUUUAAAAUUUUUAUUAUUUGAUCCCUAUUAAUUUAGUGCAUUAUAUUCUAGUUCUAAAUUUUAUUUUUAUCGCACUUAUCUUUAGAGGUUGAGAGUGAAGAAAGAAAGUCAUCAAAAAAUUAAAAAAAAAAAAAGAAAGAAAGAAAAAUCUCAAUGGAUUGUGGUAAUUUAAAUAUUUAUGAAUAUAAUAUUUUUUUAUUAUUUUUAUUGUGUCAAGUUUUAUAUUAUUUUCUCUAGUUAAUUGUUUUUUAUUUUUUAUACAAUCACGUUAAAAUAAUUAAAACAUUAUAUUUUUUACUUUAUAAAUUUUUACAAGUCAUGAUAAGUUUUCUUUUUAGGAUAAUGGUGCUCUUGAUAAAUAAAAACGUUAUCUCUAAAAUUAAAAAAAUAAUAAUGAAUAUCAAAAGUGAAGUCUUGGUUAAAGAAAUGAAGUUUAAUCCAAGGAAAUGGUUUUUUUUUCCUUACUAAAUUUAAAUCUUUUGAGUUUUGAUAGAUAUGUAUUUUAAUUAUUUUUAGUUUUUUUAAAAUAAUCAUGAUUUAGAAAAACUCUCAAUGUUUUUUCAAAAUAAUAAAAUCAUAAAUAAUAAAAAUAAAUUUUGGAAGAAAAAAAUACAUUUUUUUCUUCAAUGAAAGAAUAUCCAACAAAAAAACAUCGGCAUGUGCAUGUUUUGCUUUUUAUAAAGAAGAUUUAAUUUUUUUAUUUUAGUUUUUAAUUAGCUGUAACAACUAUUUUCUUAUAAUUUAUUAGUUGAUAUAGUUCUUAAUUCAUAAGUACGUAUCCACAAUAAAGCGUAGGUCCACUUGCUUGUUUUUUUUCUGAAGUUUAUUUUAUUCGUAAUUUGUCUAUUUAUUUUGUUCCAGAUGCUUUGAGUUGCAUGCUGGCCUGUGGACCAUGCCUUAACCUUGUGGGGCCAUGUCAGAUAAAUAAUGUCUUGUGAUAUUUAAGAUAGGGGUACACUAAUUAUUUUUUAUUUGGAUCGCUAUCCCUUCCUUUCCUAAAAGCGCUCUUCCUGGCACCUUCGUAUCCAAUUAAUCACCUCCUUUUUUUAACCAGAGAAGGCGUUGUAAUAACUUGAUAUUAAAAAAUUUAUUUAUUUUAUGAUUUUUUAUUUAAUUUAUGAUUUUUUAUUUAAGUUCCAUGUUGCUCUUAUAAUAAUUAUUGAAAAUUUAUAUGAUCAUUAACUUCAAAAUUUAUAAGAUUAAUUGAUGUAUAUACAAGUUUAUCCAAAUAUUUAUAUUAAUAAAAAUAAUAAAAAAAAAUUACCUUUUUUUUGGUCAUCAACAAGAAUGGAUGAGUAAAGAGACCAAAUUGUGUUAAUAGUAAAAAUCUUAAAAGUAGAAAUUAAUUUGUUUUUAUGUUUAAAAAUGUUUUUAAAAAAAUUUAAAUUUAAAUUUUUUUAAAAUUAAUAUUUUUUUAUUUUUUACAAAAUUAUUUUAAUUUGCUGAUUUUAAAAUUAAUUUUUAAAAAAUAAAAAAUAUAUUAUUUUAAUAUAUUUUUAAAUAAAAAAUAUUUUAAAAAAUAACCGUAAUUAAACUAAAAAUAAAAAAGUAAGAAGAUAGAUUUGUCGGUAACAAUAAAAUAUGUUCUCUCGAUGAAUGAUCUUGUAAUGAAAACAUAAGUUGAAUUAAAUAAAUAAUAAAGUGAAGCCUGAUAUGACAUGAUCAUGACUUUAAAAAUAAUAGGGUGAUUGUUUUGUAAAAUAUUUUUUUAUUUAAAAAUAUAUUAAAUAUAUUUUUUAUUUUUUAAAUAUUAAUACAUUAAAAUAUAUAAAAAAUUUAAAUAAAAAAUUUAAAUAUUAUCCAACUUCUAUUUAAAAAACAAUAAUUGCUUUUUGAAAUGGGAAAGCAAAUAAAAGUCGUUGAAAGCAAUACAUCUAAACAAAUUACAAUCAUGCAGUGCGGGAACUUAAAAUAAAAAUAAUAUAUCUUUUGCGGCAUGAUUGCCCCCACUGACUGCACUACACUUCUUAGUGGUUAAUCGGUCACGUCCAGAACAACUACUGUAACACAUAUAUGCAAAGCACCUGGCAUAAUUCAAUGAUGAUUACUUGCAAGCCACCUAACAUAAUAAAAGGCCGACAUUCAAAAAAAAAGAAAAAAGGCCGACAUUACGAUUGAAAAAUAUUUGUUUUUAAAAAAAAAAUUUAAUUUUUUAAUUUAAUAUGAUUGUGAUAUUUUUAGAUUAUUUUGAUGUAUUAAUAUUAAAAAUAAUUUUUAAAAAAUAAAAAUAAAUAUUAUUUUAAUAUGUUUUAAAAUAAAAAAUAUUUUUAAAAACAAUCGCUGCCAUACUUUCAAAUAAUAUAAUUGAAUCAAAUAAAAUGUAAUUGAAUUUAAUUUAUAAAUAGAUUUAAAUUUAAUAUCUUCUUAUAAAUUUUAUAUUUAAAAUAAAAUGUUAAAUCAUGUAAUUAAAUUUAAUUAUACUAUUUUUAAGUUAGCAAUAAUGAUUAUUUUAUCCUUAAUUUAAAAAUUAUAUUUUUGUUAUAUAAAACAUUUCUUAGUUCGAAUAAUUCAUAAAAAUACCAUGUUAAAUCAUGAAUGAUCAUCUCGUCCAGAAGACCAUCGUUAACUUUUUUCAACUCUUCCAAAGAAUUAAUUAAAUGACCAUAACAAGAAGGAAAAUCUUGAAAACAGGGACAAAGAACAAAAAUAAUCCGUUAAAAUCAAAUCAGAGGCUACCUUUCGGCUUUCGCCCUGUGGAAAACAAUAAUAGGGUUUGUCUUGUUGUGCUGUUAAGGAUAUUUUUUAAAUAUUGUUUUUAUUGUCAAUUUCAGAAGGAGUUAUCAUAGCAAUUUAUAGGUUAUCAACUCUUGAAUUUCAUUUCAAAUUCAAAUUCAUACUUUAACAAAUAUUCAAAAUAUAAAGAUUGAUUUAAUCUUGUGAAUUGAAUUCAAUUCAUAAGAUUCCAAACACUCGGUAAAAUAAAAUAAAAAAUUAAAUUUGAGAUGAAAACUCGUGGACUAUACAUGUAUCGCAUCAUUAUAAUUACUACAUUGAUUUUUUUUUUUUUAAUUCUUUACUACUUUUAUAAUCACUUGUUUGUUAUUAUUGUAAGUUGUGUUGAAUAAAUAUUGAACUUGAUAAUUUAUUUUGAUUUAUUUUUUAUCAUAUUAUUACGCUAUCAAAAAAUAAAUUUUGAUAUUGGGUUGAUACUUGAUUUUACAAAAAAAAAAAUAUUUUUAUUUACAAAAACUUAAAAAUAAAGGGAACAAAAUACAAAGUGAGGGGAAAAUGGAACCUUGUUUUAACCUAAAACUAAUCAUUCAGUUUCUUUUGACAAAAAAGUACCUUAUAUUUUUCUCAAUUACCAUUAUGGACAUUUAGUUUAAAAUGUAUGAGUUUUAGUCUCAAACUUUAUUUUGUUCACAUUUAAGUACUUAAAGAAAGUCAUCGAAAAAUAAUAUAGGGGCGGGGAGAGAGAGAGAGAGAGAGAGAGAGAUAGAGAGAGAGAGAGAGAGAGAGAGAUAGAGAGAGAGAGAGAGAGAGAGAGAGAGAGUCAUUGGUUGUCUACAUUUCAACAAUAAAAAAAAUUAUUUUUUGGUGUCAAUGAGUUCCAUUCGACAAUGAAGUUCUAUUGAAGUGUUUUUUACCUAUAAUCUUGUCGAAAACAAUUGACCAAGGUUGAGAAAUAUAUUUAUUUCCAACUUAAUUUUAUAUUUUUUGAUUUAUUUAGGAUUUUUUGUUAAGGAAUUGGUUUAUUGGCAUUCUAAGAGUGCUUUUUUAGUAUUUCAGGUGAAAAUAGGUUCAAAAUAAGAUUUUCAUGUCCUAAAACUCGGACUCUAAUUUUCUAGUGACCUUCAAUAACCAAAAAAUAUUGUAGAUGAAGAUAGGUUGUCCACCACAAUUGAUGACCUAUCAAAUUGUGUGUGUGUGUGUCUAAAAAUGCAGAUGAUACAUCAUCCAUUCCAAUUUAAAAAAAAUAGCUCAAGCGCGUGGGGCUGAGUUUACAGGUUUAGACGUGCUUGGCCUUUUAGGUAACUAGCAUUGCUUCUUGGGUCAAUUUAAUGAAUAAUGGGUUCAUUUUGGAAAUGUUUUUUUUAUUUUAGUGUUUCAGCCUCUUUUUAUCGUAUUCUCUUAGAACCAAUUUAACAAGUUAAGUUUUCAAUGUGAGAUAGAAAGAGAAAAUGAUGAGAAUGUAAAACAGUGCUUUGUUUUUUUUUUUUUAAUUAAUUGUAUUCUUUAAUAUUGGGUUUACUAGGGAUUAGAUUUUAUAGUUUAUUUCAAUUUGUUUUUCAUAGGGUUGUCUAAGUCUCAUGAUCCAGGUUAUGGAUUUAGUGAUUUAAAACAACUUGACUCGAUUUUUUUUUUAAUUUUAUCCUUUAAUAAUUGGUUGUUUGGGAAUUGAUCUUUAAAAUCUAUUUUGACUUACUUUCUAUGAGGUUAAUUCGGUCUCAUGACCUGAGUUGUGAGUUUGGUGGAUUAACUUAAGUUAUUUUUUUCUGUCCAUUUUUAUAAUUGAUUUUUUUUUUAAUUUCAUCCUUCUAUAUUAGGUUGAUUAAGAAUUCAGAUUUAUAAUUUAUUUUAUUUGUUUUUAUAAGGUUAUAUCGGUCUCAUGAUCCAAAUCAUGAAUUUGGUGAGUUAACUCAGGAUGACCUGAAUUGAUAUUAUAUGUUGUCAUCUCAAUAUUGUUUUUUUUUAUAAAAAAAAUAUAUUGUCUUGAAUUUAUUUUUAGUCAAAAUAUAUUUUCAUCGGUUGUUUGACAUACCUUUAUACAUGUUAGGUCGAUCUGGUUACAUUAAAUCAACCCUUACAUGAUUUAAAAUUAAUACAUGAUAUAGUUCAUGCCCAAAACACAUUGAAUGGACUGGGAUGAUUAUACUUCGACAGUUUGGUUAAUUCACCUUAAAGUUCACAGUUUGAUUGACUCAAUUUGAAUUGACAGGUUCUGAGAAGUAUUAUAUUUUCAAGAAUUUUAUAUUUUUAGUGUAAGUAAUUUGUUUUUAUCAAAUUAGAGAUGUAAAGUUAGUUUUGACAUGUUAAAACUAACAUGGAGAUGCUCCUAACAUUGAAACAAGAAAAAAAUAUCAAGAAACAUAUAUUAAAAAAAUACCAAGAAACAUAUACUUCAUUGGAAUUGCUAAAGAAAUAGAAAAAAAAAACAAUGAAUAAGAAAAGAAUUCCAUCGGCAAUGUUUUAGAAAGUUAAAACGUUAUUAUUUACUAAUGAAAUUGCCGAUGAAAUUAUUCUGUCAGCAAAUGUAAAUAAGUUCUAAUUGACAACCCCCCCUAUUCUUCUUCCUGUGCAAAGAAAAGUAUCAUCAACCAUCUAUUAUCUUAUAAAUCCAGCCACCCUAACCUUUUAACAUCGAUUUACAUCUAUAAUUAAUGUUAGCAUUCGUCAUGAAAUAUUUUGUGAAACUUCAAUAUACAAAGUAAACAAACCAACCCAUUUUUUUUAAAUCCAUUUAUGUUUUAGAUUAAUUUAUUAAAACAAUUUAUAGUAUUUGUAGUUUUUAGUACAUUUAAGUGUUUUAUAGUUUUUUCCUAAAGAAAUUUAUUGUGUUAAUAUUUGUAUGUUACAGUUCGUUUAAUGAAGAAAUUGAAGAAAUAAAAUUGAGUUUGAUUUUAUAUUUUAGGUGUGUUAUAAUUGAAGAAAUGAUGGUUAUUUUAAUGAGUACCAAUCAUAUUUUGUAGAUUUUAUUAUUAAGUUGGAAAUUAGGGGAAAUUGAUUUUUUUUUUUUGUGGAAUUGAUAAAGUCAAUAUUAUUAUAUAUAGGUUUCAUAAGAAAUGCAUGAUCAUUUUUAGAUGUAUCAAGAUUCACCUAAAAAAUUAUCUUCAAAAGGUUGAGGGUUUUAUUAUUUUUGUAAUUUUUAAAUUGAAGAAUAUUAGUACGGAAAAUUAGAUGUUCAUAUGUGAAGUAUAAGAAUAAAAAAUUUCACCAUAAAGAUAUUAUAAUGACGCUUCUACUUAAAAAGGUUUCGUUGAGAAAUACUUAUGUUGAUUUGCACACGGAGAACCUUAUGCUCCUUACGAAACCAUGUUAGAAAUCAUGGUUGGCUUAGCUUCUAGUUCUAACAAUAUAAAUGGGUUGUGGGGAAUAAUAGUACUCAUUAGAGAAGUAUGGUGAUGAAUACAAUAAGAAUAAUUCAUAAUUAUUCAUGUAAAAGUUCAAGUAAUAUCCUUUUAGAUGAAAAAUCAAAUGUAGAUGUAACUAAGUUUUUUAAACUUUUACAAGAUUUUGAUAAAUUAUUAUGGGAUAAGUGCACAGCUUACAAUUUGGUUUGUGAUCUUGAUUUUAUUUUUUUUUUGCUUUGCUUUGGUUUUUUUGCUUUGCUUUGGUUUUGUUUGUGAUCAUGAUUUUGUUUGGUUUGGUUUGUGAUUUAAAGAGAGAGUUUUGAAUCUAUAUACAUAACAGAUGUUGUUUUUUGUGUUUUGUGUGUAGACCAUGUUACUUUUGAUUUUUUUAUAUAUAGUUAUGAGUUUAUUAUUUUUAAAUUAAGAUAGCUACUAUUAUUGCUAGUUCGACCAGUAAUAGUAUUGGUGAUGUUAAUGCUCAUGUUAUUAAUUUUAGGUAUCGAUCAUGAAAAGGUGGAAUCCAUUUUAUGUAAGUUAUUUAUUUUGUUUAGGUUAUUUUAAUAUUUACAUUAAAUGAAAAUGGUUGAUUGUGUGUGAAUUUGUUUUUAGUUUCUAUCAAUAUUUCCUAGAUAUAUGCAUCCUAUAUUGUGUUAUUUCCUAUAAUAUGCUCUCUCAAGUUGAGAGUGAAGGAUGAACCUGAAACUUGAAUUGAAAAGUAGUAGAAGAAGCAGUAAGAAGUGUCUUAGUAAAAACAUCAAGUUAAUUCUAAAAAGAGAUAAAACAAAUCUAAAUAUCAUUAUUGGCAACCCUGUCAUAUAUAAAAUGAUAAUUAACUUCAACAUGUUUAGUACGAACAAAGAUCUUAAAAAGAUUUAUGAAGUUAUAACACAUGUCAGAUAUGGAGAAUAGUCAACAGCCAAGGUAGAGUGAGGAGCUGCAACACCGGUUAGAUUUGGGGAAGAGUCGACAACCAAGGUAAGAGUCUAUUAGGGAGAGGGAAAGAGAAUUUUAAUGUGUUAAGGCUUUAAUACCAAGUUGAAGAGAAAUAAGAGGCCUAACCUAGAAGUUAACCAUUCUUUUUUAAUUAUAUGUAGGGAAAUAUACAAUAGUUAAUGUAGAGAUUACAACACAAGAUUAAGCCUAUCAAUAUUGCAUAGAUACAUACAUCUUAUAUUGUGUAAUUUCCUAUAAUAAAAACGAAAAAAAAAUUGGUUAAUUUAAUUUUUUUUCUCAAUUUGGUUUUUUUUAGUUUUUUUGGUUUAAUUAGGAUUUUAGUUUUUUUGCUCAAGAUAUCUUCAGGUAAUCUUCACUUAAACCUUAAGUACAUUUCUAGAUUGCCUAACGAGAUUCUUAAGGAAUCCUAAUUUUUAAAAAAUUAUCAUUUUUGUUGUGUUUAUGUGUACCGGGAAACCCAACAUUAAUAACUAUUCAAUUUAGUCAUAAAAUUUAUCAUAUCCAUGCCCAAAAAGGCCCAAUCAGGGAGAGAAGAAUUCAAGGUUAGCCAACUGGAUUAUCACAUUAUGAUCAUGUCCAUAAUUCAGGUCAUAAAAUUGACAGUUAAGUAGAUUGAUCGAUGGUGAUUCAAUAUAUCAUCGUCUCAAUAUAAAAAAUAAAAAAUAAACAGGAUGUCAUCUUAAAAUUAUUUUUACACUAACCCAAAUUUCUAUCGGUCAUCUAGGUUAUUUUUACACCCAACAAAUUGAUUAUGUCACAUCCUGGAAACUCUCAUAUGAUUUAAUUUGAAGCUCAUGCUAAACAAAGAAUCAAGUUAGAAGGUUUUAAAUUGACAUGUUGAAUUAGAUUUCAUGACAAUGUCAAAGAGUUCCUCAUAUCCAGCCCAUUUUUAUAUAUUAAAAAACACUACUAUAUUUUUUAAAAAAAACAAUUUUCUCUUCAUUCAAUUUAAUCCUUAUUCUAUAAUAACUUUUCAAUCAUGUCUUAAAUUUCAUCAUACUCGAGCUCAAGUCCUCUUUUUUCAAUUCUCUAAUAACUUUUCAAUGUAGUUUAAAAUUUCAUCACAUCCAACCUCAAUAAAGAUCCAACUAGAAAGAAAAUAAAAAAAAAAAAAAAAAAAUCGACCAACCUGUUUACCACAUUGUGAUCAUAUCUAUAACCUAUUGUGAAUAUAAAUCACAGGUGAAUUUAUGAAUAUUAUGUUUUCUUGCACUUCCCUUUGCCUUAUAUAUCUGUAUUUUCUCUUUGCAGCACAGGCAGUGCCAUUAGUGAAGACAAUAAACUUCAAAAUUAUGAGCUCACUGAUAUUUGGAAUAGCGCAAAGUGCAAACAGAGACAUACUCGGAGAGCUCUACCAACAACCGGUGAAAAGUGUUCUUUCUGUACCGAUCAAUUUCCCCUUCACAUGCUUCAAUCACAGCCUCCAAGCAAGAGAAAAGACCAGAACGAUAAUCUUGUAUCUUAAACAUGAAAAGAGGGCUACUUUGGAGCAUCAAAUCACCAUUCCUUAGCCAGAUCUCUUCACCAUCUUGCUUGGUUUCCUAAAUGAAGACAAUUCUGUUGUAUAUCUGAUGAUGAAAUUGUAGAUAGUGCUAUCAAUAUAAUGAAAGCAGGACAUGACACAACUUCCAUCCUCAGUUUCUUGAUCAAGCUUUUAGUCAAUGAUCCGUCUGUUUAUGGCAGCAUUGUUCAAGGUAUGCGACUAAAUUCUUGAAAAUCUCUAAAAUUUGAGACUGCAGAACAAGAGGACACUGCCAAGAGUAAGGUGUCAAAGGACCUAUUAGCAUGGGAUGAUCUCGCAAGAAUAAAAUAAUUUAUUUUUAAUAUUUAUUUUUAAUAUCAGUGUAUUAAAAUAAUUUAAAAACACUAAAAAAAUAUUAAUUUUAAAAAAAUAAAAAACAUUUAAACUUUUUUAAAAACACUCUUAACACACAAAAAUAAAGACGCCCUGCUAAUUCUGUAUUCCUAAAACAUCUGGUUUUCAUGUGCAAUCGUAGGGACGAAGGGGAAAGAAAGGAAGAAAAAAAAUAAAAUAAAUAAAGACAGAAAGGUUAAUUAGGGCUUCAUUUAACGGUUUUAUUAUUAUUAUUAUUAUUAUUAUUAUUAUUAUUAUUUUGCAUACAAUUGACUCUCCCAAAUCAUAAUCACUAAGAACCUAGCUCCAGGUUAAGUGGGUUUACCACUCAAAGUCGUGACCAGUUCAACUUGCAAUCUCCUUUAUACUAAAAAUAAUAAUAAACCUUGCAACCUCCUAGGUUUUCAGGUUAAAAUAGCCUGGUUAUACCACUAGGAAUAAUCAUUUACUCAACCAAUAAUCAAACGGUUAACAUUUAUUUAAUACUUUAGUGGUUAUUGUGAUACAGUUUAAAAGGAUGAAUUUAAAAAAACUAUAAAUUAUAGCUUUUUCAACUAAAAUUUUAAGAUAUAUUUUUUAAUAAAAUAUAUAUAAAACUAUGAUAUAUGUUGAUUAAUUAUUAAAUACUUGUUAAUUUUAAAUUUGUGGUUGAAAUAAAAAUUAAACUGUACAACAUUGUAUGAUCACAUAACUAAAUAAUGGAGCCUUGGAUGAAAAAUCUAAAUGAAAUUGCUUUCCUAAUAAAAUUGGUGGACAGCGUGAAGAUUGCAUUGCAUCAUGGCAUUGUCUCUACAAAUAUAUGAUAGCUAAGACCAAGUGCUUCCAGCUUUUCCGAGUGUUUUCAUUAUCACAAUUAUUGCACUCGAUAAUAUCUCUGGCUCUCUACAAGUUUGCUUCCGAAUAUCACUCUCUCUUGUCCCUUCUUUUGUCACUGUAACCAAGCUUUUUCCUUGCACAGAUUAUCUCUCACUUCUCUCUUAAAUCUUCAAAUCUGUGUGUGUGGUUCUUGAUCAGGUGGAGCUGGCUACCAUGGAGGUUCAGAACCAAGAGCACCAAAAACCCAACACAGACCAAGUGGUUCUUUCCGUGGAUCAACCAGACUCCAAACUCAGACAGUCACCAUCACCACAGCAACCAGACUCCAAAGCCCCCCUCUCUAAAACCCUGGCAAGAACAAAUACCCUCCGCCGUCUCAACUUCUCCAAGCCCAAAUCUCGUUUCAGUGAGACAAACUACCCUCCCCCUUCCAGGAGCAGCCAUGAAUUCGAAGAAUAUUACCAACUACUAAACCCCCCCGAAAGCGCUUCCUCCAGUGAUGAGGAAGAUGAUGAAGAAUGGUAUGAAUAUGAAGAAGGAGGAGGGGAAGAAGUUGAUGAUGCUGGAGAUUCCAAAAAACAUUCCAAGAACGGAAGGAGAAGGAUAAUAAAGAUAAAAAAGAGAGCCUUGAUUGAGUUCAUAUUGUUUCUAAUAAGCAUGACCUGCUUAAUUCUCUCUCUAACCCUUGAAUCCCUCAGAAACAAGGUCCUAUGGGGUUUACUUUUAUGGAAAUGGUGCCUUAUGGUCCUGGUUAUCUUCUGUGGCCGCCUUGUGUCGGUUUGGCUUGUAGGUUUUCUUGGUUUUCUCAUAGAACGCAACUUCAUGCUCAGAGAAAAGGUACUCUACUUUGUUUUUGGUUUGCGAAAGAGUUUUCAACACUGUGCAUGGCUAGGACUGGUUCUACUUGCAUGGAUGAGUAUGUUCCAUGAUGCCCACAAACGCAACAAGACCUUGAAGAGGACUUUCCGCGUUCUGAUUGCCGUCUUCGUCGGAGCUACAUAUGGUUACUAAAGAUUUUACUCGUCAAGGUUCUUGCUUCAUCUUUCCAUGUUGCUACCUUCUUUGACCGCAUGAAAGAAAGCGUCUUCCACCACUACAUUCUCGUUACACUCUCCGGGCCACCAUUAGAUGAGAAUGAGAGGGAAACUCCCCGUCGGCUGACGCCGAGGCAUUCGAGGAGAUUGCCGGCGAAACAGAGAG